GACGAACGCUGGCGGCGUGCUUAACACAUGCAAGUCGAACGGAAAGGCCCUGCUUUUGUGGGGUGCUCGAGUGGCGAACGGGUGAGUAACACGUGAGUAACCUGCCCUUGACUUUGGGAUAACUUCAGGAAACUGGGGCUAAUACCGGAUAGGAGCUCCUGCUGCAUGGUGGGGGCUGGAAAGUUUCGGCGGUUGGGGAUGGACUCGCGGCUUAUCAGCUUGUUGGUGGGGUAGUGGCUUACCAAGGCUUUGACGGGUAGCCGGCCUGAGAGGGUGACCGGCGACAUGGGGACUGAGAUACGGCCCAGACUCCUACGGUAGGCAGCAGUGGGGAAUAUUGCACAAUGGGCGGAAGCCUGAUGCAGCAACGCCGCGUGCGGGAUGACGGCCUUCGGGUUGUAAACCGCUUUCGCCUGUGACGAAGCGUGAGUGACGGUAAUGGGUAAAGAAGCACCGGCUAACUACGUG
rnacentral:rRNA from 1 species